CAACGAUGAAGAGUUUGAUCCUGGCUCAGGAUGAACGCUAGCGGCAGGCCUAACACAUGCAAGUCGAGGGGCAGCGGGGAUAAGCUUGCUUAUCCGCCGGCGACCGGCGCACGGGUGCGCAACGCGUAUAGAAUCUGCCCUGUACUGGGGAAUAGCCCAGAGAAAUUUGGAUUAAUGCCCCAUAGUAUGUAUUAGCGGCAUCGCUAUUACAUUAAAG
rnacentral:rRNA from 1 species